CGAUGAGUAGGGCGGGACACGUGGUAUCCUGUCUGAAUAUGGGGGGACCAUCCUCCAAGGCUAAAUACUCCUGACUGACCGAUAGUGAACCAGUACCGUGAGGGAAAGGCGAAAAGAACCCCGGCGAGGGGAGUGAAAAAGAACCUGAAACCGUGUACGUACAAGCAGUGGGAGCACAGGUUUACCUGUGUGACUGCGUACCUUUUGUAUAAUGGGUCAGCGACUUAUAUUCUGUAGCAAGGUUAACCGAAUAGGGGAGCCGKAGGGAAACCGAGUCUUAAUUGGGCGUUAAGUUGCAGGGUAUAGACCCGAAACCCGGUGAUCUAGCCAUGGGCAGGUUGAAGGUUGGGUAACACUAACUGGAGGACCGAACCGACUAAUGUUGAAAAAUUAGCGGAUGACCUGUGGCUGGGGGUGAAAGGCCAAUCAAACCGGGAGAUAGCUGGUUCUCCCCGAAAGCUAUUUAGGUAGCGCCUCGUGAAUUCAUCUCCGGGGGUAGAGCACUGUUUCGGCUAGGGGGCCAUCCCGGCUU
rnacentral:rRNA from 1 species